rnacentral:rRNA from 1 species
GUGGGGAUUAGUGGCGAACGGGUGAGUAACACGUGGGCAAUCUGCCCUUCACUCUGGGACAAGCCCUGGAAACGGGGUCUAAUACCGGAUACAACCACUGCAGGCAUCUGUUGGUGGUGGAAAGCUCCGGCGGUGAAGGAUGAGCCCGCGGCCUAUCAGCUUGUUGGUGAGGUAACGGCUCACCAAGGCGACGACGGGUAGCCGGCCUGAGAGGGCGACCGGCCACACUGGGACUGAGACACGGCCCAGACUCCUACGGGAGGCAGCAGUGGGGAAUAUUGCACAAUGGGCGAAAGCCUGAUGCAGCGACGCCGCGUGAGGGAUGACGGCCUUCGGGUUGUAAACCUCUUUCAGCAGGGAAGAAGCGAAAGUGACGGUACCUGCAGAAGAAGCGCCGGCUAACUACGUGCCAGCAGCCGCGGUAAUACGUAGGGCGCGAGCGUUGUCCGGAAUUAUUGGGCGUAAAGAGCUCGUAGGCGGUCUGUCGCGUCGGAUGUGAAAGCCCGGGGCUUAACCCCGGGUCUGCAUUCGAUACGGGCAGACUAGAGUGUGGUAGGGGAGAUCGGAAUUCCUGG